GACGAACGCUGGCGGCGUGCUUAACACAUGCAAGUCGAACGGAAAGGCCCUGCUUUUGUGGGGUGCUCGAGUGGCGAACGGGUGAGUAACACGUGAGUAACCUGCCCUUGACCUUGGGAUAACUUCAGGAAACUGGGGCUAAUACCGGAUAGGAGCUCCUGCUGCAUGGUGGGGGUUGGAAAGUUUCGGCGGUUGGGGAUGGACUCGCGGCUUAUCAGCUUGUUGGUGGGGUAGUGGCUUACCAAGGCUUUGACGGGUAGCCGGCCUGAGAGGGUGACCGGCCUCAUUGGGACUGAGAUACGGCCCAGACUCCUACGGGAGGCAGCAGUGGGGAAUAUUGCACAAUGGGCGGAAGCCUGAUGCAGCAACGCCGCGUGCGGGAUGACGGCCUUCGGGUUGUAAACCGCUUUCGCCUGUGACGAAGCGUGAGUGACGGUAAUGGGUAAAGAAGCACCGGCUAACUACGUG
rnacentral:rRNA from 1 species